GACGUAGGGUGCGAGCGUUUGUCCGGGAUUUAUUGGGCGUAAAGAGCUCGUAGGCGGCUCGUCGCGUCGACCGUGAAAACCCGCAGCUUAACUGCGGGCUUGCGGUUGAUACGGGCGGGCUAGAGUUCGGUAGGGGAGACUGGAAUUCCAGGGUGUAGCGGUGAAAAUGCGCAGAUAUCAGGAGGAACACCGGUGGCGAAGGCGGGUCUCUGGGCAACAACUGACGCUGGAGGAGCGAAAGCGUGGGGAGCGAACAGGG
rnacentral:rRNA from 1 species